rnacentral:rRNA from 1 species
UCCACGCCGUAAACGAUGAUUACUCGAUGUUGGUGAUACACUAUCAGCGUCCAAGCGAAAGCGUUAAGUAAUCCACCUGGGGAGUACGAUCGCAAGGUUGAAACUCAAAGGAAUUGACGGGGGCCCGCACAAGCGGAGGAGCAUGUGGUUUAAUUCGAUGAUACGCGAGGAACCUUACCUAGACUUAAAUGUAGAUUGCAUAGAGUAGAAAUAUUCUUUCCCUUCGGGGCUAUUUACAAGGUGCUGCAUGGUUGUCGUCAGCUCGUGCCGUGAGGUGUCGGGUUAAGUCCCAUAACGAGCGCAACCCCUAUCCUUAGUUGCCAUCAGAUAAUGCUGGGGACUCUAAGGAAACUGCCGGCGCAAGCCGUGAGGA